rnacentral:rRNA from 1 species
UACGGGGGGGGCAAGCGUUGUUCGGAAUUACUGGGCGUAAAGGGCUCGUAGGCGGCCAACUAAGUCAGACGUGAAAUCCCCAGGCUCAACUUGGGAACUGCGUCUGAUACUGGAUGGCUUGAAUUCGGGAGAGGGAUGCAGAAUUCCAGGUGUAGCGGUGAAAUGCGUAGAUAUCGGGAGGAACACCGGUGGCGAAGGCGGCGAUCUGGGUCGAUACUGACGCUGAGGUGCAAAAGCGUGGGGAGCAAACAGG